rnacentral:rRNA from 1 species
UUCUUGGUCAUUUAGAGGAAGUAAAAGUCGUAACAAGGUCUCCGUUGGUGAACCAGCGGAGGGAUCAUUACCGAGUUUACAACUCCCAAACCCCUGUGAACAUACCUUAAUGUUGCCUCGGCGGAUCAGCCCGCGCCCCGUAAAACGGGACGGCCCGCCAGAGGACCCAAACUCUAAUGUUUCUUAUUGUAACUUCUGAGUAAAACAAACAAAUAAAUCAAAACUUUCAACAACGGAUCUCUUGGUUCUGGCAUCGAUGAAGAACGCAGCAAAAUGCGAUAAGUAAUGUGAAUUGCAGAAUUCAGUGAAUCAUCGAAUCUUUGAACGCACAUUGCGCCCGCUGGUAUUCCGGCGGGCAUGCCUGUUCGAGCGUCAUUUCAACCCUCAAGCCCCCGGGUUUGGUGUUGGGGAUCGGCUCUGCCUUCUGGCGGUGCCGCCCCCGAAAUACAUUGGCGGUCUCGCUGCAGCCUCCAUUGCGUAGUAGCUAACACCUCGCAACUGGAACGCGGCGCGGCCAUGCCGUAAAACCCCAACUUCUGAAUGUUGACCUCGGAUCAGGUAGGAAUACCCGCUGAACUUAAGCAUAUCAAUAAGCG